GCUUACGGCCACACCUCCCUGAGCACGCCCGAUCUCGUCUGAUCUCGGAAGCUAAGCAGGGUCGGGCCCGGUUAGUAUUUGGAUGGGAGUUCGCCUGGGAAUACCAGGUGCUGUAAGCC
ensembl:rRNA 5S_rRNA 5S ribosomal RNA